rnacentral:lncRNA from 1 species
UUUUAUGUUAUUCAGUUAACAAUUUUCUGUGAAAGUUCUUAUUGGUCUAGCUAGAAAGACACUAUGUGCCUGCUGCUUCUGUCAAGUGCAACGUAAGUUCAAAUACUGCCUUAUUUGGAUAAGCUUUUCUCAAUAUUUCACAAUUUCCAUUUGUUCCAACACAUUAGUGCAACAGUCUGAUAAUUUUUGGUUCCCAUUUCUGUGAUUUUUGUUUGGAAAUUAUGCACCUAUCUUUUGAAAACACGUCGGGCCGCUGUUCGUUAUGGAUAUAUACUGUGCUGCUUUUGCUGUGGAUUGAGAAUUCUAUUAUGUAUAAAGGUGUUGAAGAAAUUAUGUUCGAGUUUUGUACUUGAAUUUACAGGAAGAGGUUAAUAAGAGAAGGCUUCCCAAUAAAACGAUAAUUUGUUGAUAUCUAACUAUGUGCCACAACUCGAGCUGAAACAAGUAUCAAAUAUGUGAACAAACCUUAUCUAUACUUUUGAAUCUUAAAAAGUUUGUAUUAUGAACUGGUAACAAAAACAGAACUCUGAAAAAAAGUAGGGUGAAAUAAAUAAAUCUUCUUUGAUUGUUUAGAGAGCUACUGCUGUGAUACUCAUCAAUUAUUCACUUGUAAUUUAUAUCUAAUUAAUACUUUCACUGAUGUUAAGAGCGAGAGAGAAAAAUAUUAGUGGUUUGAAAAAAUAACUUUCCAGGUUGGAUGAGAGCUAUUAAAGUAUAUUCAGUUUUGUGUUUAUAGAGAGUGUUAAGUGUGUGUUUUCUGAGUUACUGUUUUGGGAAAGGGGAAAUUCCUCGGUGCUUGAUUGAGGUGUUUAGGGUUCAUGUGAGGCUUUUGCAGUGGAGGUGGCCCAAGAACAGGGAACUACUGGUGGUGUGAUUAUCAAAUAGAAGGUACCAUUUCAAAUUGAUCGAGAUGGAGCAUGGGGGCUGUUUCCUAUGGACAUUUUUCAGAUGUUCGCUGGGAGGUUGAUCUAUAAUGGCUGAGAGAAUAGAAUGAUUUGUUGAAGAAGUGGAGUUAACCAUGAAGCAAAGAAGAUUGUUGAGCCUUUUAUUCUUAUGGGUCCUCUUAAGAGUUUUGAAAGUCAGAUGUUAUAGAUGGUUUUGCACUGAGAUGGUGCAGUGAGGUAUGUAUAGCCAGGUUAUUUGGGGGUAGGGGAUACUACAUUUGUAAUUUUUUUGGCUGUUUUAUUUAUUGUCUGUUUAUUUUUGAUUCUCUUUGAUAUACCUGUCUAUGUUAUGCAUGGUUUGUGCCCCCUUCGUGCUCUUGUUAAUAUAUUCACUACUUGUCAUUUAUCAACUUACCAUUAAAACAAAAGAAUGGAAAAGAAUUAAUAGGAGCGAUGAAAUAGAAUAUUUUGUGUUCAUGCAGAGUGUUAUAGCGAGUUUGACACUUUGACUUACUUGAUUGCUUGCAGAUGGGAGACUGUUCCUUGCAGUAAGCAGUAGUCGAAAUUGAAUAAUAUGAUUCUUUUGCAUAUGCAGAAUGUGGUAGUCAGUUCGACUUGGACAUUGUGAUGUUGAGGUAAGCAGUUCUCGAUUUGAAACCUUAAUCUUUGUUGCAGAGAUUACAGUUGGAGAUAUCUUGUCUAAGUUUCUAUCCCAAAUUGCAUGUUGCUUUGUAGGAAACCUCAGAAAUAUCUUUCUGAAGCCACUUGAAAUCUGUAUACGAUGAUUGGUCAUUAUAGCAUAAUCCUUCGCAGCCAUGAAGGAGAUAACUACUAGCGAAUGUUCUUGAACAUCCAAUGCCAGAUUCUAUUGUCCAAAGUUUCACUAGGCCCAAGACUUGGCUGUAAAUGUUAUCAAGUUUCCAUUUAUUUGAUUGCAUUAUGAUCAAUUUUGGGAGUUAUCUCAAUGAAGCGUUUCAAGAGCUGUAGCUGUUCUAUAAUGUCACUGUCAUUGAUUUAUCAUUUAUGCUUACUUUUGAGUCGAUCGGGGAGGAGCUGUUAUGCUCAUCAUGUGUGUCAAAGUUGUGAAAUAUGAAAGAGGUUGCGUCCA